ACCCGCUGAACUUAAGCAUAUCAAUAAGCGGAGGAAAAGAAACUAACAAGGAUUCCCCUAGUAACGGCGAGUGAAGCGGGAAAAGCUCAAAUUUUAAAUCUGGCGGUCUCAGGCUGUCCGAGUUGUAAUCUAGAGAAGUGUUAUCUGUGUCGGACCGCAUGUAAGUCUCCUGGAACGGAGCGUCAUAGAGGGUGAGAAUCCCGUCUGUAAUGCGGACUACCGGUGCUCUACGAUGCGCUCUCAAAGAGUCGAGUUGUUUGGGAAUGCAGCUCAAAAUGGGAGGUAAAUUCCUUCUAAAGCUAAAUAUUGGCGAGAGACCGAUAGCGAACAAGUACCGUGAGGGAAAGAUGAAAAGCACUUUGGAAAGAGAGUCAAACAGUACGUGAAAUUGUUGAAAGGGAAACGCUUGAAGUCAGUCGCGUCUUCUGGGAUUCAGCCUUGCUUUUGCUUGGUGCAUUUCCUAGUUUGACGGGUCAACAUCGAUUUCGACCGUUGGAUAAGAGUUUGAGGAAUGUGGCACCUCCGGGUGUGUUAUAGCCUCUUAUUGUAUACAUCGGCGGGGAUCGAGGAACUCAGCAUGCCAUUAUGGUCGGGGUUCGCCCACGUAACAUGCUUAGGAUGUUGGCAUAAUGGCUUUAAGCGACCCGUCUUGAAACACGG
rnacentral:rRNA from 1 species